AAGUCGUAACAAGGUUUCCGUAGGUGAACCUGCGGAAGGAUCAUUAACACGUAUCCACGUACCCACCCCCGGUCACUUGGUUUUUACCGCCCUACGCUUUACAUGAAUAGGAACCGAUAGGAUUGAUUGGAUGGGGCCGGUAAAACGGUCGCUCCUAUCGCUAUUUACGCAACCGAAAGGAAGCGUUAACGAUUGUAGUAAAGAAGUAGGCAAAAUUCUAUUACGAACUUCUCCAUUCAAGAUGGGCGUAAUAGAGCAUUAAUCACCCUUAUCACCCCCUUUUUGCUAGUUGACUUUAUUAUGUUGUUUUCAUUGUAAUUAAUUUUAUGAUGGACUCACACGUUUAUUUAUUUAAACAAUUAAACAACUCUUAGCAAUGGAUAUCUUGGCUCUC
rnacentral:misc_RNA from 1 species